rnacentral:rRNA from 1 species
GACGAACGCUGGCGGCGUGCUUAACACAUGCAAGUCGAACGGAAAGGCCUGCUUUCCCUUGUGGAUUGCGGGUACUCGAGUGGCGAACGGGUGAGUAACACGUGAGUGAUCUGCUCCCAACUUGGGUAUAAGCCUGGGAAACUGGGUCUAAUUCUCGAUAGGACUGCAGGGUGGUGCCUGUGGUGGAAAACGAUUUUCUAGUGGUUGGGGAUGAGCUCGCGGCCUAUCAGCUUGUUGGUGGGGUAAUGGCCUACCAAGGCGGCGACGGGUAGCCGGCCUGAGAGGGUGGACAGCCACAUUGGGACUGAGAUACGGCCCAGACUCCUACGGGAGGCAGCAGUGGGGAAUAUAGCACAAUGGGCGGAAGCCUGAUGCAGCGACGCCGCGUGGGGGAUGACGGCCUUCGGGUUGUAAACUCCUUUCGACCGCGAGGAAGCCACCUGGUUGGAAGGGUGGUGACGGUAGUGGUAGAAGAAGCACCGGCUAACUACGUG